rnacentral:rRNA from 1 species
GUGGUUUGUCGUGUUGUUCGUGAAAACUCACAGCUUAACUGUGGGCGUGCGGGCGAUACGGGCAGACUAGAGUACUGCAGAGGAGACUGGAAUUCCUGGUGUAGCGGUGGAAUGCGCAGAUAUCAGGAGGAACACCGGUGGCGAAGGCGGGUCUCUGGGCAGUAACUGACGCUGAGGAGCGAAAGCGUGGGGAGCGAACAGGAUUAGAUACCCUGGUAGUCCACGCCGUAAACGGUGGGUACUAGGUGUGGGUUCCUUCCUUGGGAUCCGUGCCGUAGCUAACGCAUUAAGUACCCCGCCUGGGGAGUACGGCCGCAAGGCUAAAACUCAAAGGAAUUGACGGGGGCCCGCACAAGCGGCGGAGCAUGUGGAUUAAUUCGAUGCAACGCGAAGAACCUUACCUGGGUUUGACAUGCACAGGACGCCGGCAGAGAUGUCGGUUCCCUUGUGGCCUGUGUGCAGGUGGUGCAUGGAUGUCGUCAGCUCGUGUCGUGAGAUGUUGGGUUAAGUCCCGCAACGAGCGCAACCCUUGUCCUAUGUUGCCAGCGGGUUAUGCCGGGGACUCGUAGGAGACUGCCGGGGUCAACUCGGAGGAAGGUGGGGAUGACGUCAAGUCAUCAUGCCCCUUAUGUCCAGGGCUUCACACAUGCUACAAUGGCCGGUACAAAGGGCUGCGAUGCCGUGAGGUGGAGCGAAUCCUUUCAAAGCCGGUCUCAGUUCGGAUCGGGGUCUGCAACUCGACCCCGUGAA